UAAAAUACAUUGAAGAGAAGAGUAAGUUUUUGGAAGCCUUAACAGAGAGCUCGAGAUGGUGCAAGCGGGCAGGUGGAUGGAAGCUGAAGCAAGGCUUGGAGUAGCACAUCGGAUUGAGUGUAUGAUGAUGUGACGGGUCUCUCCCGUUAUAGAGGCGCAGUAUGAUUGUACUGAUAGAGGCAUAAUUAGCGAUAAUUAUGUGAAAUAGGGUGGCAACACGUGUCGCAAAGUCGAUUCCGUCCCUAAG
rnacentral:ncRNA from 1 species